UAGUACCUUUUUCUCGGAUAAUUCAUUAUCAAUAUAAUCUAAAUUCCUGCUAACAUAACUACCCAUUAUUCAUGUCUAAUAUUGUCUUUUUCCACUUAUUUGGGUUGAUCCAUUUAGCAUGGAUAUUACCCGUUAGAUACAGUGGCUUCUUGCGCUUCAGUUAUGGACCGGUUAUCAUCUUAUUGUCAGCGGUUAAUGAAAAUUCAAAUUUAUCUUGCCUCUUCUGAAACUGUAAGAACCGUGAUUUGCGUUGCCCACCACAAUCCAUUCGUUCUUCUCCAAACUGCGUUCUCGACUGGCCCGAGAGAUGGAUGCAUCAGCGUCUGCGCGGAUACCGCCCAAGAAACUUGCACCUGUUGAAAGAGUGUUCCCUGUGCAUUCCGUGUCUACCAUUCAUGACUCUGGAAUAAGCAACAACGAAAAUUCAAACCCCAAUAUCAUCUCUACUCCUUCCACUGGCAGAGACUAUCCUAAAUCUUCUGCCUUCCGCGAACCGGGGUAAUGCAGUCCGUCGUACACCAACCACUGGUUCAGCUGGUUUUCACUUUGUCCGCAAUUGUUUAUGGGCAACCUGAAAAUAUCACAUCAGUCGAGGAUUUUGAGCUGAAAGCUAUGAACCUGUAUGAGCUCACUAAGGAAGGGUUUUCAAGAUCUAUUCACAUACUUUCUCAUCGUGGUCAGAGCAUUUGUUGUUAUCCAGUGUUGUAUGUGUAGAAGAAAGGAUCAAUGAUACAUAUGAGGACUAUAUACACUAAAGACCUGCUUCGUAUAGUGACAGAAGUUUGUGGAUGCUGAGGAUCAGGUAAUCCGCAUAUGCUUAUUUAUGUAUGAAAUUUCAGAGAUUGAUUAUGACAUUUCAGAGACAAAGCAACAUGUACAUUUUACAAUAUAAGCAUGAUUUAAUAUGACACUGAUAGUAGUGCUCCUUUUUGCUUAAAAGACUGAACUAAUCCAACUGCUUAUAUAUACUUCUAUAUUGCUAAAUGGGUUUGGGACUUGGGAGUAUUAAGAAGUAGUUUUGUUGUGUGUUGGGUAUAGUAAAAACCUUUUAAAUUUGUAGAAACACAAGUAUAUAUACUAGAUUUGGAGGGCUUGGUCUUGGAAUUAUGAUUAUGAUUGGUAAAGAGUUGUUAAAUGGAUAGAAGGCAUUGUUAAAUUUAGUGUUAAAAUGCAGUCUUGGCUAUAUUCGAGCAAAAGAAAGAAAUACAGGAGGAUUCUCACACAGUUAUAAUACAUAUUGGUAAAAUUUGGUACUCCUUAUAUGUGGACAGGUUGGGAGCAGGUUGUGGACACAGGUGCGAAUUCUAUUGGAUGAGAAAAAUUAUUGCUAAUAUGUCAUUUAAAAAACUUUAACGGGAGAAGUCGGAGGCCAUGCGGCUUGAUAAGCAAUAUGAAUAACAAAAAUUCACCUUAUGUAUGGUGCUUAUGGAUAUAUUUUUUAGCUUAAAAUCUUUGAUUAUUGGUUGGACAAAUUAAUAUGGGUAUAAUAAUUGUUGUAUUUUGUUAGUAGUUAUUUGACACAACUAAGUAAGUCCAUGGUUUUAAACUUUCUCAUGCUCAUGAGUAUUUAUGUUAAAGUAUUUUGGUAUUAGUGAAGCAAGCACAAUGGAUGAACCAUAUUAAUCUGUUAUUUAAUUUUGUGUCAUGACCAUCUGUAGAAUAUUCGUUAAAUGCUCCAUUUAGAUCAAAAUAUGGCAACUUUAAUACAUCUUAUCCAAGUCUUAUUUUAUCGAAAUCAAAUAUGUUUGAAUGUUGCAUAGAAAACAGUUUCAGGAUUUUGGAAGAUCAGAAAUGGAAGGAUCAGGUUAUGAACUUCAUUUUUAGGCUUAGAACUAUGAUUCAAUCUAAUUGAACCGGUUGUUGUUUGAGACAGGAAGUUGCUGCAGGGGAACUGUGCUAGGUGGCAAAGAUUUAAUUUUUUCAGGAACUUCAACAACCAUGAAGCAGGUUAUUCACUGUAAAGUUGUGAGUCAACAUCAUGCAUCAGGUAAUGCCAUUUUCUAAUGCUUAGUUUAUAUCCAUGCUUAGUUUAUAACAAUGAUCCUUUCCAGAUUUAUUAAUUUAGCAUGUGAACAUCUCCCAUAUAUUAAUGACAGUUAUAAGCAAACAAAAUUGUGAACCAUGGACACUUUUUUCUGCCAAAACAGUUGAUGACUUUAAUCAUCUGUCUAUAACAGCUGUUAGUUAUUAUAGGAUCAAAUUAUGUUAUAUACUUACUGCCAGGACAAAGCUCCCGGUUAGUACACCAUCUGAUCUUCAGUACAAUAAGCCUGGAAGUGUUGGCCGUGCAUCAGACAUGAAGUAUUGCCCAACUCAAGCAAGGUUGUAAGGAAUUGGCUUCAUUGAAUUUGUUUGCUAUAAUAACACAGAGACUUGAUGAGGAGGGUAAUGUAUGCAGCAGUUCAGAUAGUCCAUUGAUAUAUCUGUAUGGGGCUAAGGAUUCCACCUAAAUUGAUCAUCUGGACACCAAGGACUCAAAUCCGUGCUUUCUUGGUCUAACAGUGUUCGAGAGACUUAAUGAAUCCUACCUAAGUGAUCAUGAUUACCAACAUAUAACUCAAUCUAAGUACACUCCUAUGACCAGAGAAAAUCAGAAUCAGGACGGCAUGUCAAUGAAGGUGAGGAAGCUGACAAUCAGGACGGCAUGUCAAUGAAGGGAUGCUACACCUCUUGCAAGCGUGCGACCGACUAAUGUGAACCAAAGAGUGUUGCUGAUAUACAAUAAAGUUGGAUGGAAAAUAUGUCAGGCCUCUAAUUAGGAAUAUACACUGGUUUUUUAUUUAAAUUUUUGUACAAAUUUUGUUGCAUGGUUGUAUGAAAUCAAUUUUCAGAGUAUAACAAUUUAAUAUAAAUGUUAGUA